rnacentral:rRNA from 1 species
UACGUAGGUGGCAAGCGUUGUCCGGAUUUAUUGGGUUUAAAGGGUGCGUAGGCGGCUUUGUAAGUCAGUGGUGAAAUAUGGCAGCUCAACUGUCAAAGGUGCCAUUGAUACUGCGGAGCUUGAGUACAGAUGAGGUAGGCGGAAUUGACGGUGGUAGCGGUGAAAUGCUUAGAUAUGUCAAGAACACCUAUAGCGAAGGCAGCUUACUAGGCUGUAACUGACGCUGAGGCACGAAAGUGUGGGGGAUCAAACAGG